GCAAGUCGAACGCUUUUUCUUAUCACCGUAGCUUGCUACACCGAUAAGAAAUUGAGUGGCGAACGGGUGAGUAACACGUGGGUAACCUGCCCUAAAGAGGGGGAUAACACUUGGAAACAGGUGCUAAUACCGCAUAUCUCUUAGAACCGCAUGGUUCUGGGAUGAAAGGUGGCGUAAGCUAUCACUUUAGGAUGGACCCGCGGCGUAUUAGCUUGUUGGUGGGGUAAUGGCCUACCAAGGCGAUGAUACGUAGCCGAACUGAGAGGUUGAUCGGCCACAUUGGGACUGAGACACGGCCCAAACUCCUACGGGAGGCAGCAGUAGGGAAUCUUCCACAAUGGACGCAAGUCUGAUGGAGCAACGCCGCGUGAAUGAAGAAGGCCUUCGGGUCGUAAAAUUCUGUUGUUAGAGAAGAACAUGCAGGAGAGUAACUGUUCUUGUAUUGACGGUAUCUAACCAGAAAGCCACGGCUAACUACGUGCCAGCAGCCGCGGUAAUACGUAGGUGGCAAGCGUUGUCCGGAUUUAUUGGGCGUAAAGGGAACGCAGGCGGUUUUUUAAGUCUGAUGUGAAAGCCUUCGGCUCAACCGAAGAAUUGCAUUGGAAACUGGAAGACUUGAGUGCAGAAGAGGAGAGUGGAACUCCAUGUGUAGCGGUGGAAUGCGUAGAUAUAUGGA
rnacentral:rRNA from 2 species